AGCUGGUUGGUGAGGUAACGGCCCACCAAGGCGACGAUCGGUAGCCGGACUGAGAGGUUGAACGGCCACAUUGGGACUGAGACACGGCCCAGACUCCUACGGGAGGCAGCAGUGGGGAAUAUUGCACAAUGGGGGAAACCCUGAUGCAGCGACGCCGCGUGGAGGAAGAAGGUCUUCGGAUUGUAAACUCCUGUUGUUGGGGAAGAUAAUGACGGUACCCAACAAGGAAGUGACGGCUAACUACGUGCCAGCAGCCGCGGUAAAACGUAGGUCACAAGCGUUGUCCGGAAUUACUGGGUGUAAAGGGAGCGCAGGCGGGAAGACAAGUUGGAAGUGAAAUCUAUGGGCUCAACCCAUAAACUGCUUUCAAAACUGUUUUUCUUGAGUAGUGCAGAGGUAGGCGGAAUUCCCGGUGUAGCGGUGGAAUGCGUAGAUAUCGGGAGGAACACCAGUGGCGAAGGCGGCCUACUGGGCACCAACUGACGCUGAGGCUCGAAAGUGUGGGUAGCAAACAGGAUUAGAUACCCUGGUAGUCCACACCGUAAACGAUGAUUACUAGGUGUUGGAGGAUUGACCCCUUCAGUGCCGCAGUUAACACAAUAAGUAAUCCACCUGGGGAGUACGACCGCAAGGUUGAAACUCAAAGGAAUUGACGGGGGCCCGCACAAGCAGUGGAGUAUGUGGUUUAAUUCGACGCAACGCGAAGAACCUUACCAAGUCUUGACAUCCCUUGACAGGCAUAGAAAUAUGUUUUCUCUUCGGAGCAAGGAGACAGGUGGUGCAUGGUUGUCGUCAGCUCGUGUCGUGAGAUGUUGGGUUAAGUCCCGCAACGAGCGCAACCCUUAUGGUCAGUUACUACGCAAGAGGACUCUGGCCAGACUGCCGUUGACAAAACGGAGGAAGGUGGGGAUGACGUCAAAUCAUCAUGCCCUUUAUGACUUGGGCUACACACGUACUACAAUGGCGUUAAACAAAGAGAAGCAAGACCGCGAGGUGGAGCAAAACUCAGAAACAACGUCCCAGUUCGGACUGCAGGCUGCAACUCGCCUGCACGAAGUCGGAAUUGCUAGUAAUCGUGGAUCAGCAUGCCACGGUGAAUACGUUCCCGGGCCUUGUACACACCGCCCGUCACACCAUGAGAGCCGGGGGGACCCGAAGUCGGUAGUCUAACCGCAAGGAGGACGCCGCCGAAGGUAAAACUGGUGAUUGGGGUGAAGUCGUAACAAGGUAGCCGUAGGAGAACCU
rnacentral:rRNA from 1 species